rnacentral:tRNA from 2 species
GCAGGUGUAGCUCAGGGGUAGAGCACAACCUUGCCAAGGUUGGGGUCGCGAGUUCGAAUCUCGUCACCUGCUCCA